rnacentral:lncRNA from 10 species
UUUAUUGUGGAUACAAUGGAGAAUAUUAUGUGAUUCACUUACAAAAGGUGGAAGUGGCUGAAAUUUCUCUAUCACCUCUGUGAAACCUAUCAGAUUCUCUUUUUUUCUGGAGAGUAGUCAAUAGCUGCUCUAAGGAGGCAGCAGACACGAAAAUGGCUGCUCAGACUGAAAAGCAAGCAUUGAUAUUUGAGUAGCACUUUCCACUUUACAAAGAAUUUUCACAUGUCAGAGUUCCUGGAAUAUUGGAGAUUAAGUCGGGAACUACUGAAGAGUUCCAAUGCACUGCAAUCUCUGUUGGAUAUGAAAAAGUCAAAGGCUUGGAAAAAGCAGAUAAUGAAAGCUGGAACUAGUGGAACCCCAA